rnacentral:rRNA from 1 species
GAUGAACGCUGGCGGCGUGCUUAACACAUGCAAGUCGAACGGAAAGGCCAUGCUCUUGUGGGGUGCUCGAGAGGCGAACGGGUGAGUAACACGUGUGUAUAACGCACUUGUCUUUGGGAUAACUCUAGGAGACUGGGGCUAAAAUCGGAUAGGAGCUACUGCAGCACGGUGGGGGUUGGAAAGUUUCGGCGGUUGGGGCUGGACUGGCGGCUUAUGCGCUGGAUGGUGGGGUAGUGGAGUACCAAGGCUAUGAAGGGUAGCCGGCCUGAGAGGGUGACCGGCCACAAGGGGACUGAGAGAGGGCCCAGACUCCAACGGGAGGCAGCAGGGGAAAAUAUGGCACAAUGAGCGCAAGCCUGAUGCGGCGACGCCGCGUGCGGGAUGACGUCCUUCUGGUUGUGAACCGCUGUCUCCGGUGACGAAGCGGGAUUGACGGUAAUGGGUAAAGAAGCACCGGCUAACUACGUG